rnacentral:rRNA from 1 species
GUCUAUGUCCAUGUUACUCUGAACAAGCCUGAUCCCAUCUGAUCUUGGAAGCUAAGCAGGGUCAAGCCUGGUUAGUAUUUGGUAUGGGAGACCACCUAGGAAGACCAGGUGAUGCAGGUG